rnacentral:rRNA from 1 species
GACGAACGCUGGCGGCGUGCCUAAUACAUGCAAGUCGAACGCAGUGGGGACGGGUGAGUAACACGUGGGUAACCUCCCAUCUGAGGGGAUAACACUUGGAAACAGGUGCUAAACCGAUACUGAUGGAUGGACCCGCGGUGCAUUAGCUAGUUGGUGAGGUAACGGCUCACCAAGGCGACGAUCCGUAACUGGUCUGAGAGGAUGAUCAGUCACACUGGAACUGAGACACGGUCCAGACUCCUACGGGAGGCAGCAGUGGGGAAUAUUGGACAAUGGGCGAAAGCCUGAUCCAGCCAUGCCGCGUGUAUGAAGAAGGCCUUAGGGUUGUAAAGUACUUUCAGCGGGGAGGCGUUACCCGCAGAAGAAGCACCGGCUAACUCCGUGCCAGCAGCCGCGGUAAUAC